GAUGAACGCUGGCGGCGUGCCUAAUACAUGCAAGUCGAACGAAACUUCUUUAUCACCGAGUGCUUGCACUCACCGAUAAAGAGUUGGGUGGCGAACGGGUGAGUAACACGUGGGCAACCUGCCCAAAAGAGGGGGAUAACACUUGGAAACAGGUGCUAAUACCGCAUAACCAUAGUUACCGCAUGGUAACUAUGUCAAAGGUGGCUAUACUACCGCUUUUGGAUGGGCCCGCGGCGCAUUAGCUAGUUGGUAGGGUAAAGGCUUACCAAGGCAAUGAUGCGUAGCCGAAUUGAGAGGUUGAUCGGCCACAUUGGGACUGAGACACGGCCCAAACUCCUACGGGAGGCAGCAGUAGGGAAUCUUCCACAAUGGGCGAAAGCCUGAUGGAGCAACGCCGCGUGGGUGAAGAAGGUCUUCGGAUCGUAAAACCCUGUUGUUAGAGAAGAAAGUGCGUGAGAGUAACUGUUCACGUUUCGACGGUAUCUAACCAGAAAGCCACGGCUAACUACGUG
rnacentral:rRNA from 1 species